GGGGAAGCCAACAAUCUUCUCCAGUUGGAGCAGUUGGACGGUCGACCACUGAAAGCCCUACACCUCGGUGAAGCCCAAUAAACAAAGACCAUCGACUGUCCAGGAGGUAUCCCAUCCACCAGAAUCAGUGAGUUCGGAUCAGUCUGAUUCUCUGUGCUCUAAGUCGGAGGGGGACCAGCUUGAGGACCAAGGGGUUCUGCCCAACACCCAGACGUGGAUCCACCU